rnacentral:miRNA from 13 species
GGUAUCUUGAGACGGUCUCUGUAUCUUGAGAAUGAACUUGAGAAAUAAGGCUCCUGUCUACUAUCAGAGACACUGAUAGUGUAAAACCCAGGGUCUCCAGUAAUGGACGGGAGCCUUAUUUCUGUCACUCAGUGUUUUCACAGAUGGAAUUUGUUUCAUUUUAGCCUC